AAGGGAGCUUGACUGCGAGACCUACAAGUCGAGCAGGGACGAAAGUCGGGCUUAGUGAUCCGGUGGUUCCGCAUGGAAGGGCCAUCGCUCAACGGAUAAAAGCUACCCCGGGGAUAACAGGCUUAUCUCCCCCAAGAGUCCACAUCGACGGGGAGGUUUGGCACCUCGAUGUCGGCUCAUCGCAUCCUGGGGCUGUAGUCGGUCCCAAGGGUUGGGCUGUUCGCCCAUUAAAGCGGUACGCGAGCUGGGUUCAGAACGUCGUGAGACAGUUCGGUCCCUAUCCGUCGUGGGCGCAGGAAAUUUGAGAGGAGCUGUCCUUAGUACGAGAGGACCGGGAUGGACGCACCGCUGGUGUACCAGUUGUCUUGCCAAAGGCAUCGCUGGGUAGCUAUGUGCGGACGGGAUAAGUGCUGAAAGCAUCUAAGCAUGAAGCCCCCCUCAAGAUGAGAUUUCCCAUAGCGUCAAGCUAGUAAGAUCCCUGAAAGAUGAUCAGGUUGAUAGGUCAGAGGUGGAAGCACGGUGACGUGUGGAGCUGACUGAUACUAAUCGAUCGAGGACUUAACCUA
rnacentral:ncRNA from 1 species